UACGUAGGGGGCAAGCGUUAUCCGGAUUUACUGGGUGUAAAGGGUGCGUAGGCGGUAUGGUAAGUCAGAUGUGAAAACUCAGAGCUCAACUUUGAGACUGCAUCUGAAACUACUAAACUAGAGUGCAGGAGAGGAAAGUGGAAUUCCGAGUGUAGCGGUGAAAUGCGUAGAGAUUCGGAGGAACACCAGUAGCGAAGGCGACUUUCUGGACUGUAACUGACGCUGAGGCACGAAAGCGUGGGGAGCGAACAGG
rnacentral:rRNA from 1 species